rnacentral:rRNA from 1 species
AGCAGCCGCAGUAAUUCCAGCUCCAAUAGCGUAUAUUAAAGUUGUUGCAGUUAAAAAGCUCGUAGUUGAAUUUCGGGGUCAGUAGAUUGGUCGUGCCACUGGUAUGUACUGGUCUCACUGAUUCCUCCUUCCUGAUGAACCGUAAUGCCAUUAAUUUGGUGUUGCGGGGAAACUGGACUGUUACUUUGAAAAAUUGAGUGUUUAAAGCAGGCUAACGCUUGAAUACAUUAGCAUGGAAUAAUGAAAUAGGACGUUCGAUCCUAUUUUGUUGGUUUCUAGGAUUGACGUAAUGAUUAAUAGGGAUAGUUGGGGGCAUUAGUAUUCAAUUGUCAGAGGUGAAAUUCUUGGAUUUAUUGAAGACUAACUACUGCGAAAGCAUUUGCCAAGG